rnacentral:rRNA from 1 species
AGAGUUUGAUCCUGGCUCAGAGUGAACGCUGGCGGUAGGCCUAACACAUGCAAGUCGAACGGCAGCACAGUAAGAGCUUGCUCUUACGGGUGGCGAGUGGCGGACGGGUGAGGAAUACAUCGGAAUCUACUUUUUCGUGGGGGAUAACGUAGGGAAACUUACGCUAAUACCGCAUACGACCUACGGGUGAAAGCAGGGGAUCUUCGGACCUUGCGCGAUUGAAUGAGCCGAUGUCGGAUUAGCUAGUUGGCGGGGUAAAGGCCCACCAAGGCGACGAUCCGUAGCUGGUCUGAGAGGAUGAUCAGCCACACUGGAACUGAGACACGGUCCAGACUCCUACGGGAGGCAGCAGUGGGGAAUAUUGGACAAUGGGCGCAAGCCUGAUCCAGCCAUACCGCGUGGGUGAAGAAGGCCUUCGGGUUGUAAAGCCCUUUUGUUGGGAAAGAAAUCCAGCUGGUUAAUACCCGGUUGGGAUGACGGUACCCAAAGAAUAAGCACCGGCUAACUUCGUGCCAGCAGCCGCGGUAAUACGAAGGGUGCAAGCGUUACUCGGAAUUACUGGGCGUAAAGCGUGCGUAGGAGGUUGUUUAAGUCUGUUGUGAAAGCCCUGGGCUCAACCUGGGAACUGCAGUGGAAACUGGACGACUAGAGUGUGGUAGAGGGUAGCGGAAUUCCUGGUGUAGCAGUGAAAUGCGUAGAGAUCAGAGGAACAUCCAUGGCGAAGGCAGCUACCUGGACCAACACUGACACUGAGGCACGAAAGCGUGGGGAGCAAACAG